GCACCGGCCAAUGGCACCGCCCCGUCCGCCCCGCUCUGGGAACGCCGCUCCAGCAGAUGUGACAUAGACUGGAAGUGAUGGACCCAGACAACAAUCAGAACCAAAGCACCAGAUGAGCCACCUCAGCCACGUGAGCCAUGCCAGCCACCCUACCUGUGACCCCAUCUGUGGCCCCAGUUAUCAUGGAGUAGAGCCCUUUCUCUGUCUACAAAACCAACUUCCUCGCCCAGCUCAUGGGAACACUUAUUCUGUUGUAUAGAAUGAAGUGUUGCUUGAUUCUAGAAUCAAAGAAAGAGCAAGAGCAGGCAGGAGGGCAAGACGACAGCAAGAGAACAAGAAAGAAACCUGAAGAAAAGAAGUUUUAGUGAAGAUGGAAAGGCUUAAAACAUACCAUGGAGAAUGACCUCAGCCUUCUGUGUGGAGGAUUUGCACUUGGAGAUAAGGAAAGAGAGGGACUUCAGAGAGUUAAGCAGUUCAGUUUCCUUUGCAUUUCUUACAUCUGAGCAGGUGACCGGAGUGAACACUCUGGAAGCCACAGUGGAGUCCUCUGCUUGGGGCCUCUUUCUGGAAACCAGAUCAAUUCACUGAAAAACAAUUUGCAAAUGACUAGUUCAUUGAGAAGCAAGUGACCAAAACUCUAAGUCACCGAAUGACCUGCUCAUUGAUUUAUUGAAGAUUUUAUUCCAAGGUCUACUUCCCUCUGCAUUUGUGGCUGCCAUUUCAUAUGUGAAUGGGUGGGCAGUUUGCUGUCAUGCCCUUUUUGUGCAUCUCUAUCCUGACCCUGUAUGUGGUGCUGCCUUUUCCCAGGCCCCCUGCCCCUGCCCUGGCCUCUGUCUGCAAAGCAGUUGCAGCAACCUCCCUCUUGCUGUUGAAGAUACUCAUCUGAUGUCUAUUGUGAAUUGGCUGGAGCCCUUCUACAGGUUUGUUAGCGUCCCUCUGCAUCCAGGCUGAUGGUGCCUGCCAUGCUUCUACAUGCUGUUCUCUGCCACCCACCUGAGCCCAGCUAGAGUCAGUGGGGAAGUGGAGGAGCCACAUCAAAACAGUGUGUCCACCUCAGUCACCCUCCAGUGUGCAUUGACGACCAGGCAGCCAUUAGACCCAAAUGCAGCCCCACAGCAUAGAGGCAAAUGGAAAGGCCACAUAUCCUCUUUUCAUUCUCCUUCCAUGUGAGGCCCUGCAGAGCCUGGCAUCUGUCUUCAUCAUCGUGGCAUCCUCAGACUCUUUCUUCUUCCUGGAGCGAGCUGUGCUCUCUGAAGCCACUGCCUGUGUGGGAAGUACCCCAGCAUUUCUUCGCUGUUGCCAGGCAUCCCUUCCUGUCCUACCACUUCAAAUGCAUCUUUUCAUGUGUCCUUCCUGAGCACCUCUAGCAGCUGCAUGUUCCUGUUUCAGCCUCUGCCUUUCCACAGCUCCUCCAAGAUUCCUCUAUUGCAGAGCACAGCACCACCUUGCAGGAAACCUCCCAGAGGACUGUGAGGACCAUGAAGCAAGGGGCUGCAUCUUAUUCUCCUUGGUGUCUGGCCCAGCAGUGGGCCCAGGCCAGAUGCCAUUAAGAACAUUCAUGAUUCAUGAGAGGAGAUCAAAAUAUCAACAUAAACAGGAGUUUGAAAGAAGUUGAUUUCAACCCUUGUGGAUGACUAUGAGAGAUUCAAGGCUUCAGUGGAGAAUGCACCUACAGAUAUGGUGGAAACAGCAAAAGAAAUAGAAUCAGAAGUGGAGCCUGAAGAUUAAACUGAAUUGCUGCAAUCUCAUGAUAAAACUUGAACAGAUGAGGAGUUGCUUCUUACAGGUCUGUGGAUCAACACUGUCUCCCUGGCCUCUACCCAGCGCGCAGGACCCCUUAGCAGAGCAGGAGAACUCAGGUUGGAACUCAUUAUUGCAUGGUGCUUGUCUUGCCAUCUGUCCCCAUAAUGCCUUAAGUGACAAUGACAUAGGCAUCUGACAAUGUAUGUGGCCAUCACUUUUUAUCAUUUUAAGAUAUAUGGGCCUUCUUUUUCCAACUCUUUUCCCCCGCCAGACAGCCAGGAGCCCAGAGAAGGGUUGUGUUGUGUCCUUUACUGAGCCCCACAGGCCUGUGUGAGCCAGGGGCUUGGCAUGCCUGGGAAUAAGAGCGCCAGCCUUUGGCCUUCCCGCAGCCUCUCCUUGGGGCCUUUAGGGUCCCCACAGGCCCUCCCCUCCCCUCUGCAUUUUCCAGGAUCCAGCCAGCUGCCGGCACACUUUCGUCCUCCUCCGCACACGAGGAUCCCCAGGCCCAGCGGUGUUAGCCCAGAGAGGAGCGGCGUUUGGGAUGUGAUCCACAGCUGAUCCCUCGUGGCCCCUCCUCUCCCGAAUCCUGAAACAUGAGGAGGCCCUUCAGCUGCUGGCUCGGAGUCCGACUAUGGGAACUUUCUCCGGUCUACGGGGGCAGCAAGGGUCUCGCCUCAGGGACUUGGUUUAUUUAUCUAGCUGGACUCCAUCCCUUAAUAUCCUACUUACAGAGGAAGAGGCUUUAGCAGCUAAAUGCAGCCCCAUCCCCUCCUGUGGAGACUGUGAGCAGAAAAAGAACAGAUAUUUACAGAGGCCCGAGCCCCCCUUGUUGUUUUCUGCAAGGCUGUCGAGCUGGUGGAGCUUCAGGAUCCUGGUCAGGAACCCCGAACCCAGCGCUGGAGGCCCUGAAGAUCAGGGCACCCGACCCUCUUCCCAGCCGCCAAAGGCCUGUGUUGGUCUGAUUGUGGAUUCCAAGCUCUAAUUUCCAUCCAUCCUCCCAAUCCGAAUUCCCUUUGCAGACAUAAACACCAUCAGCAAUGUAGAGAAUGUGUUUCCUCAUCUUUGAAUAUUAACACUCAUCUGUUUAAUUGAGCUACUUUUUACAUACAUGUAAGAUGUGCUGCAAUUGCAAAAGAAACAUGUGCUUCGUGUUCUAUAAGCCAUAUCUUCCGCAAGACCUGCCAUCAAAUGAUUGCUCAAACAUUUGUUGAAUGGGAUGAGCAAUGGAGGUUCAGACAGGUGCCCUGACCUACCCAGGCUGGAGGGUAGGGAGCUAGAAAUUCAUACAACCAUGCCUUGUUCUACUUGUUUUGUGAAAGAAUCAUGUGACCAGUGACAAAGAGGCUGGGCAGCUGGGUCAGGCAGCAGGGACAGCGACUGAGCUGGGGGGACUACAGUGCUGUGCUCCUCUGCACCCGUGCUGGGAUGUCUGAGGCCAAGCUGACACUGGCCCCCCACAAUCCCUUGGGGCUGCUCCUCCUCAGGGAGUGGCUCUCCGGGUUUCCUGCUUGACUCCUGCUGCUCUUGUGUUGAAGGGCCGUCUCUGGGCAGCUCCCCCUGGCCCCUGGCCAGAGAGCCAGGCCCUGUCAGGCACGCACAUGGAGGAUGAGGGAGGUGCAGUUGUUUUCACAGGUGCAGACUCUAGAGGGACCCCACGUGGACUCUGUGGCUUC
ensembl:lncRNA TMEM72-AS1 TMEM72 antisense RNA 1